UCACCUACUAUAUCUGUUUUAGGGGCUAUUACACCAGUUUAGGGUGCAGCCGAGGAGGACUGCGCUCAUUUUAUAUCCUCUUUAAUCUUUAAUAAACCAGGGGUUAGGGUUACCCCCGGUUAGAGUAAAUGUUAAAAUUUUUUUGUUUUUGGUUGGAUUAAGUUUUGUGCCCCUAUGGUACAAUUUUUCGUGUUUAAAAAUGAGUUAAUUAGUAAUUUUAUCAUUCCCGAUUUUUCUCGGCCCUAGUACGACUGUUUAUUAAAAACAUUUCCGCCCGUCAGGUUUGGGCGGUAGCACCUGCCCUGUGAUUAAUUUAACGGCCGCAGUAUUUUGACUGUGCGAAGGUAGCAUAAUUAAUUGCCCCAUAAUUGGGGGCUUGUUUGAAUGGUUUAAUGUGACUAGUCAGCUAAAUUGGGGAUUUUGGUGAAUUUAAUUUGACGAGUACAGAAUCUGUCUAAGUUAAUAAGACGGAAAGACCCCGGGAUCUUUAGUUUUUGUCUGGGGCAGAUAGUGUUAGUUCAACACUUUUAUGACCCGAAGUUUAAAGGUUUAAGUUACCCCGGGGAUAACAGUGUUAUAGCCUAUUAGAGUUCAUAUCGACUAGGUUGAUUGCUACCUCGAUGUUGACUUGGGUAUUACUGAGGGGCGCAGUUGUUCCCGGUACUGGUCUGUU
rnacentral:rRNA from 1 species